rnacentral:lncRNA from 1 species
UGUGCUCAUUUUUCGACACUUCACACGGUCACAUUUUGAUCAGUGUGAGCUUUUUCAAUCGGGUACUUUUUGCUGCAAGAUUUGAUCUGCAUUUGUUUGUUUUAUGAAAUUUUAUUUCGGAUAGAUCAUUUUAGUGCUUUCAUUUUAUUUUUUUCACGCAUUUUUGCGUUCAAUUUUUAUUCCUUUUAUUUUUGUUUUUUUUAUAAAAUGUCAAGAAAGAAUAAAUAUAAACAAACAAAUAUUUUAUUUUAUUUUAUUUUAUUUUAUCAAGAAGUUGUGAAUUUUAUUUCAUUUUUUUAACUUAUGUUGAUGACAAAAUAUCUGAGGAGCACUUUUGGAAUAAAAUGAAAGUUAAAAACCCUAAUGCAUUUGCUAUAUAUGGAUCACUAUUGACCAAUGAGAGGAGACACACACCAAUACCCACAAAACGACGUCCCUCUCUCAAUGUAUCCCUUCUCUCAGCAUGAAAAGAUUAAAAGAAAAAAGAUAGAAAAGGAAACACAGUAAUCCAAUCCUCAUCACACUCCCUCAUUUUCAUGAGUCAUGCAUCUUCUUUUGCAACUCGUGUGAACCACCACCACCUUCAAUAACCUCUCUCAUAACUACACUCUCCUUCAUCCUUUUCAUUUUCACAUAUUGCAACUUACAUGCCAACUUCAAUAAACACUAAACAACCUCAUUUAACGUUAACUCAUUUCACAAACCACCACUCCAUCAUGCUGCAAACAAACCAUCCUCACUUCAACGCAAUGCCCUCAUUUUUUCUUCCUGCGAAACAAAACCUCACUCCACACAAACCAAAUACAACCUCCACACUUGCUACUUCACCACCUUCUUCACUAAACCACCAACUUCUAUAACACAAACUACCAAAUCCCUUCUUUUCCAUAACAAAAACAAAAACAUUAGCAAAGUGAAUAACUCAGCUUCAAACUCAAGAUUCAGGUUCAAAGAUGAACUGAAUGGUCGUGAAGUAGAAGAAAAAGAAACAGAGCAGUUGUUA